AACGAACGCUGGCGGCAUGCCUAACACAUGCAAGUCGAACGAGACCUUCGGGUCUAGUGGCGCACGGGUGCGUAACGCGUGGGAACCUGCCCUUAGGUUCGGAAUAACUCCCCGAAAGGGGUGCUAAUACCGGAUAAUGUCUUCGGACCAAAGAUUUAUCGCCUUUGGAUGGGCCCGCGUUGGAUUAGCUUGUUGGUAGGGUAAAAGCCUACCAAGGCGACGAUCCAUAGCUGGUCUGAGAGGAUGAUCAGCCACACUGGGACUGAGACACGGCCCAGACUCCUACGGGAAGCAGCAGUGGGGAAUAUUGGACAAUGGGCGAAAGCCUGAUCCAGCAAUGCCGCGUGAGUGAUGAAGGCCUUAGGGUUGUAAAGCUCUUUUACCCGGGAUGAUAAUGACAGUACCGGGAGAAUAAGCGCCGGCUAACUCCGUG
rnacentral:rRNA from 1 species